UGAAGCUUAGGGAACGACGCGCCGAUACGGGUCUUACGCAGGGCAGCGGAGUGAACCGGGCGGCACUGCUUAUAUCUGCGACACGAGCGCUGCGGUUCACCGAACAGCUGGAAAACGCUCUUAGGAAACAUCUGACUCCCUCCAGCAGGCCCGAGCCGCUUGCGUAAUAUCAGAGUCUGCCAAGCGCAGUUGGCCUGCAGUCUCGUGUAACACACGCACACGAAAGCAGUGCAGAUGGACAGCAAGGUCCUCUUGUUGUUGCUGGUGGCAGUGGUCGCCGCAGAAGAACCGAACAGGCUGGCCGAUUUCGGCUGGCCGGACAUCAUCGUCAAGCAGCCGGAAGAGCUGCCGGGCGGCUACGCGGUUUCGGCAUCGGCGGUCCCGGGGUCGGUGCUCGCCUGGGCCGCAGCAGCAGCCGCCGUGGUGCGCUACCUGCUGCGCGCGUAGCGCGAAGACAGAGGUCCAGGAUAAUGCAUAUACCACUGCAUCGGAGAUCAAAGCAUGACGGUGGAGUCCUACCAACGUACGGGCACCCAACCCGCCACUAAAGAGAUAAUAUAACGAUACUCAAUACUUUUACCGCUCUUCUUUUGUUUACAUUGUAAUUGUUUAAUAACAGUAAUUUUUGUGACUAAACUAUUGGAUACGUA